UGUCAUCAGAAUAGUUAAGUUGGAAACUAAUAAUAUUUUGUUUCUACUUUAAGGGCAAAGAGGACAUUUUUUGUUUGUUUUAUGUACAUUGUGUAUUCGCGUUGUGAAAUAUGUAUUUUGUGCAUAAAUUAAGUUUCGUUAUUUCAAUGUUAUCGAUAUUAUCGCUAUUAUCGCGAGACUUGCGCUGUGGUAAGGUGAUUCCUGCCCUGUCACGGACAGACACUCGAACGCAAGACAUAGGAAGAGCAGCAGCAAUUAGGACUGUUCGCUAUCUGUUCAAGGUAUUUGUGAUUUAUUUGGUUGUGUAUGUAAUUAAAUGUAAGACACGAUUGUAAUCGUUAUAUUUUGUCCUGUAGAUAUCAAAAGUGUAUUUUUUGUUGCCCAAGACCUCCGAAGUGGCAGGCGGCAAUGAGUUUUCACGGUGUUGGUGUACCAAGACAACCCCAAAGACACUAUUAAACACCCGUCAUUUGGAAACCGU